AUCAAAACAACUGACUUCUCUUUAAGUCUUAUUUCUGCCCCAGGAACCUGUCCUUGAUCCACCACCUUCUGGUUAUUAUUUCACUUUGUUCACAUUCCGGGGACAUACAAUCGGCUGAUUUUAUCUUCUCUAACUACAUUUCUGCUUCAGAGGCUUUACUUGGUGGGAAUCAUCUUCCAGACUCCCCAAAGCUGGCUUCUGCCCAACUCACAAACCUCAUCUCACAUGUUGCUCUUUUCCCCUCUUUCACCAGUUCCAGGCACACAGACUUCCUGUCAGUUCUUGGUCAAGCAAGUUCUCGUCCACCUGAGGACCUUGUCCUUGCCUGUUCUUCCGUCUGCCUGGAAGGCUUUCUUCUGUCUUCUGUGCCUGGCUCCUUCCCCACCUUCCGGCCUCACUUGAGAUGUGAUCUUCUCUGACCAUCUUAGCUGAAGUUGGCCUCCUCUCCCUUAAUCUCCAUUGAGCUAAACAGUUUCUUUCAUCUAGAACUUACUAUAGUAAUUAUGUGUUUACUAGUUCACUGUCUGGAAUCGUUUACCCUAGAGCAGUCUACGAUGUAAAGCCAGGAUGGUCAAACUACAGCGCAAGCUUUGUUUUUGCAAAGCUCUGGAGCUUCCCUCUCUGCUGGUCACUCAUUCUUCUCUCUCCUGCUGCCAUAUGAAAAAGGACCCGUUUCCUUCCCCUUCUGCCAUGAUUGUAAGUUUCCUGAGGCCUCCCCAGCCCUGCAGAACUGGACCUGGGAGUGCGACAUGGUGGCCUCAGGGGAAAAGGGCUCUCGUCUAGACCUUCUGACUGUCCUCUGGAUCUUCCUGGUGUCCAUGCGGGGCUGCUGCUCUGGGCUGGCCCCAGGGCCUUUGGCCAGUGUCCAUGAGACCCGGAAUUCCAGCAACCAGUUUGACAACUCCUACAGAGAAACAGGAUCCACAUAAGGAUACAGCUUCUUCAUAUCCCUGUCCCAUGACUUCACCCUGCGUUCUUCAACCAAUCAAUGUGUCAGGCCUCUGAGCCCAGGCCUGCACGUAUACAUCCAGAUGGCAUGAAGUAACUGAGGAAUCACAAAAGAAGUGAAACUGGCCGGUUCCUGCCUUAACUGAUGACAUUACCUUGUGAAAUUCCUUCUCCUGGCUCAUCUGGGCUCAGAAGCUCCUCCACUGAGCACCUUGUGACCCCCCACCCCUGUCCGCCAGAGAGCAACCCCCUUUGACUGUAAUUUUCCACUACCUACCCAAAUCCUGUGAAAUGGCCCCACCCCAUCUCCCUUCACUGACUCUAUUUUCGGACUCCGCCCGCCUGCACCCAGGUGAAAUAAACAGCCUUGUUGCUCACACAAAGCCUGUUUGGUGGUCUCUCCACACGGACGCAUGUGACACAAUGAUCCCCACA
rnacentral:lncRNA from 10 species